ACAUUACGGAAGUGGUUACGCGGAAAAUAGUUCCUCUGUUUGAUGGUGAAUAUUGGUGAAUUUUUGAGUGAAAGACCUGCAAUAAAUGGCAUGAUUUAAUAGAGGAGAUAUGAAAUAGUAGGUACAUGUACAAUUUGACAGAAUGAAAAUGUCAGAAUAUGCAUAACAUGACUUUUUGAUAGGGCCUGUUUUGCCUGUUUGCGGCCAUCUAGAGAGUAUUCUUCAUACGCAUGUGAUUUGGUUCAAAAUGGUGGAAAAAAGAGCCGGUCAACCCAAUGUUUACUGUGGCUGGAAUUUUUUCUCUUGGAUAGUUCUGUUGAGUUCAGGUAUUUUUAUAGGGGUUGGAAUGCAUGCAAAAUUGCUAUAGUGUCCAGUGCCUAUAUAGAACAUAUAGUAAAAAUAACUGUGGUCUUAGGCCUGAUAUAGUGGAAAAUGUCAGAAAGUAAAUUGUCAAUAUUUUUGUUAUUUUUCAAUCUACAUGGCUGAAAUUUUGACAGUGAAUGGCUGGUAGGCACAGAAAUCUGUACCUAAAAACCUGAAAUGAGAGCGCUCGGACAAUGUGAAGUCUGUCGCAUAGACGGGGAUUGACCGCCUUUGUACAUAUAUGUCUACAGCUUCUCAGAUUUGACCGAAGACAGUUAUUCGGUGUUGUGAAUGGAUGUUGUUCGGCCGAAGGCCUUCCAGUCACACAGAAGAUCCUGGUUCGGUCACACGAAGGGUUACUUCCAUUGAUAUUAGUCACAGGAAAAAUUAGGACCACCAGUUGUAGUUUCUCAGUACCUAAAAACCUGAAAUGAGAGCGCUCGGACAAUGUGAAGUUUGUCGCAUAGACGGGGAUUGACCGCCUUUGUACAUAUAUGUCUACAGCUUCUCAGAUUUGACCGAAGACAGUUGUUCGGUGUUGUGAAUGGAUGUUGUUCGGCCGAAGGCCUUCCAGUCACACAGAAGAUCCUGGUUCGGUCACACGAAGGGUCACUUCCAUUGAUAUUAGUCACAGAAAAAAUUAGGAGCACCAGUUGUAGUUUCUCAGGUUGAUAUUUAUUAA